CGAAAGGGUGGGGAGCAAACAGGCUUAGAUACCCUGGUAGUCCACCCCGUAAACGUUGGGAACUAGUUGUGGGGUCCAUUCCACGGAUUCCGUGACGCAGCUAACGCAUUAAGUUCCCCGCCUGGGGAGUACGGCCGCAAGGCUAAAACUCAAAGGAAUUGACGGGGACCCGCACAAGCGGCGGAGCAUGCGGAUUAAUUCGAUGCAACGCGAAGAACCUUACCAAGGCUUGACAUAUACGAGAACGGGCCAGAAAUGGUCAACUCUUUGGACACUCGUAAACAGGUGGUGCAUGGUUGUCGUCAGCUCGUGUCGUGAGAUGUUGGGUUAAGUCCCGCAACGAGCGCAACCCUCGUUCUAUGUUGCCAGCACGUAAUGGUGGGAACUCAUGGGAUACUGCCGGGGUCAACUCGGAGGAAGGUGGGGAUGACGUCAAAUCAUCAUGCCCCUUAUGUCUUGGGCUUCACGCAUGCUACAAUGGCCGGUACAAAGGGCUGCAAUACCGCGAGGUGGAGCGAAUCCCAAAAAGCCGGUCCCAGUUCGGAUUGAGGUCUGCAACUCGACCUCAUGAAGUCGGAGUCGCUAGUAAUCGCAGAUCAGCAACGCUGCGGUGAAUACGUUCCCGGGUCUUGUACACACCGCCCGUCAAGUCAUGAAAGUCGGUAACACCUGAAGCCGGUGGCCCAACCCUUGUGGAGGGAGCCGUCGAAGGUGGGAUCG
rnacentral:rRNA from 1 species